AUUGAACGCUGGCGGCAGGCUUAACACAUGCAAGUCGAGCGGGGUGAUGGUGCUUGCACUAUCACUUAGCGGCGGACGGGUGAGUAAUGCUUAGGAAUCUGCCUAUUAGUGGGGGACAACAUCUCGAAAGGGAUGCUAAUACCGCAUACGUCCUACGGGAGAAAGCAGGGGAUCACUUGUGACCUUGCGCUAAUAGAUGAGCCUAAGUCGGAUUAGCUAGUUGGUGGGGUAAAGGCCUACCAAGGCGACGAUCUGUAGCGGGUCUGAGAGGAUGAUCCGCCACACUGGGACUGAGACACGGCCCAGACUCCUACGGGAGGCAGCAGUGGGGAAUAUUGGACAAUGGGGGGAACCCUGAUCCAGCCAUGCCGCGUGUGUGAAGAAGGCCUUAUGGUUGUAAAGCACUUUAAGCGAGGAGGAGGCUCUUUUGGUUAAUACCCAGAAUGAGUGGACGUUACUCGCAGAAUAAGCACCGGCUAACUCUGUGCCAGCCGCCGCAGUAAUAC
rnacentral:rRNA from 1 species